GGGUGUAUAGCUCAGCGGAAGAGCACAUGCUUAGCGUGCACGUGAGCGUGGGUUCGAUCCCCAGCACCUCCA
rnacentral:tRNA from 1 species